rnacentral:rRNA from 1 species
GAAGAGGUCACACCUGUUCCCAUGUCGAACACAGAAGUUAAGCUCUUCAGCGCCGAUGGUAGUUGGGGCAUUGCCCCUGCGAGAGUAGGACGCCGCCAGGC